UACAGAGGUCUCAAGCGUUGUUCGGAUUCAUUGGGCGUAAAGGGUGCGUAGGCCGCGCGGAGGGUGGGAUGUGAAAUCCCCCGGCUCAACCGGGGAAUAGCGUCCCAAACCGCCGUGCUCGAGGGAGACAGAGGUGAGCGGAACUGAUGGUGGAGCGGUGAAAUGCGUUGAUAUCAUCAGGAACACCAGUGGCGAAGGCGGCUCACUGGGUCUUUCCUAACGCUGAGGCACGAAAGCUAGGGGAGCGAACGGG
rnacentral:rRNA from 1 species